GGUUAAGCGACUAAGCGUACACGGUGGAUGCCCUGGCAGUCAGAGGCGAUGAAGGACGUGCUAAUCUGCGAUAAGCGUCGGUAAGGUGAUAUGAACCGUUAUAACCGGCGAUUUCCGAAUGGGGAAACCCAGUGUGAUUCGUCACACUAUCAUUAACUGAAUCCAUAGGUUAAUGAGGCGAACCGGGGGAACUGAAACAUCUAAGUACCCCGAGGAAAAGAAAUCAACCGAGAUUCCCCCAGUAGCGGCGAGCGAACGGGGAGCAGCCCAGAGCCUGAAUCAGUGUGUGUGUUAGUGGAAGCGUCUGGAAAGGCGUGCGAUACAGGGUGACAGCCCCGUACACAAAAAUGCACAUACUGUGAGCUCGAUGAGUAGGGCGGGACACGUGGUAUCCUGUCUGAAUAUGGGGGGACCAUCCUCCAAGGCUAAAUACUCCUGACUGACCGAUAGUGAACCAGUACCGUGAGGGAAAGGCGAAAAGAACCCCGGCGAGGGGAGUGAAAAAGAACCUGAAACCGUGUACGUACAAGCAGUGGGAGCACGCUUAGGCGUGUGACUGCGUACCUUUUGUAUAAUGGGUCAGCGACUUAUAUUCUGUAGCAAGGUUAACCGAAUAGGGGAGCCGAAGGGAAACCGAGUCUUAACUGGGCGUUAAGUUGCAGGGUAUAGACCCGAAACCCGGUGAUCUA
rnacentral:rRNA from 2 species